GAUGAACGCUGGCGGCGUGCCUAAUACAUGCAAGUCGAGCGAACGGACGAGAAGCUUGCUUCUCUGAUGUUAGCGGCGGACGGGUGAGUAACACGUGGAUAACCUACCUAUAAGACUGGGAUAACUUCGGGAAACCGGAGCUAAUACCGGAUGAUAUUUUGAACCGCAUGGUUCAAAAGUGAAAGACGGUCUUGCUGUCACUUAUAGAUGGAUCCGCGCUGCAUUAGCUAGUUGGUAAGGUAACGGCUUACCAAGGCAACGAUGCAUAGCCGACCUGAGAGGGUGAUCGGCCACACUGGAACUGAGACACGGUCCAGACUCCUACGGGAGGCAGCAGUAGGGAAUCUUCCGCAAAGGGCGAAAGCCUGACGGAGCAACGCCGCGUGAGUGAUGAAGGUCUUCGGAUCGUAAAACUCUGUUAUUAGGGAAGAACAUAUGUGUAAGUAACUGUGCACAUCUUGACGGUACCUAAUCAGAAAGCCACGGCUAAUUACGUG
rnacentral:rRNA from 1 species